AGCAGCAUGGCGCAGUCUGGAAGCGCGCGGGGCCCAUAUGUAUAGCUGCGCACCAGGUCACCCCGAGGUCACUCGAUCGAAACGAGUUGCUGCUA